CAAAUACUCCCUCCGUCCGGAAAUACUUGUCAUCAAAAUGGAUAAAAGGAAAUGUAUCUAGACGUAUUUUAGUUUUAGAUACAUGUCUUUUUAUCCAUUUUGAUGACAAGUAUUUUCGGACGGAGGGAGUAGAAA
rnacentral:pre_miRNA from 1 species